rnacentral:rRNA from 1 species
UACGUAGGCAGCAAGCGUUGUUCGGAGUUACUGGGCGUAAAGGGUGCGUAGGCGGUUGUUUAAGUUUGGUGUGAAAUCUCCCGGCUCAACCGGGAGGGUGCGCCGAAUACUGAACGGCUAGAGUGCGGGAGAGGAGAGUGGAAUUCCUGGUGUAGCGGUGAAAUGCGUAGAUAUCAGGAGGAAUACCGAUGGCGAAGGCAGGUCUCUGGGCUGACACUGACGCCCAUGCACGAAAGCGUGGGGAGCAAACAGG